UCUAAUAUGGCAGAAUAGUGCAUUAGAUUUAAGCUCUAAAUAUAAAGGAUACUUUUAUUAGAA
rnacentral:tRNA from 1 species